GCGAUCUACCAAAGACUAAUGCACCGGAUCCCAUCGGAACUCCGCAGUUAAGCGUGCUUGGGCGAGAGUAGUACUAGGAUGGUUGCCUGGAAGUCCUCGUGUUGCA